rnacentral:tRNA from 1 species
GCGGAAGUAGCUCAGUUGGUUAGAGCAUCAUCCUUCCAAGUUGAAUGUCACGGGUUCGAAUCCCGUCUUCCGCU